rnacentral:rRNA from 1 species
GAUAAACGCCGGCGGUGUGCCUAAUACAUGCAAGUCGUACGCACUGGCCCAACUGAUUGAUGGUGCUUGCAUCUGAUUGACGAUGGAUCACCAGUGAGUGGCGGACGGGUGAGUAACACGUAGGUAACCUGCCCCGGAGCGGGGGAUAACAUUUGGAAACAGAUGAUAAUACCGCAUAACAACAAAAGCCGCAUGGCUUUUGUUUGAAAGAUGGCUUUGGCUAUCACUCUGGGAUGGACCUGCGGUGCAUUAGCUAGUUGGUAAGGUAAGGCUUACCAAGGCGAUGAUGCAUAGCCGAGUUGAGAGACUGAUCGGCCACAAUGGAACUGAGACACGGUCCAU